ensembl:snoRNA small nucleolar RNA SNORA2/SNORA34 family
CUGGCCCUGAAGGCAGUCAGCUUUUUGAUGCUGUUGGUUUCAAGCAAGGGCCUAAAGAGAUGUCUUUCUAUGGUCUGUUGGCCAUUUUAGAACUUGGGCAGUGAAAUGGUCAAUUCAUUAGAAAGAAACAGCU